rnacentral:tRNA from 1 species
GCCACGGUCGUCUAGUGGUUAGAACGCUGGCCUUGUAAUCCUGGGGUCUCGGGUUCGAUUCCCGGCGGUGCCC